CUACAGUGGGAGCGGAGCAACCGAACGGCCGGCUGCUGCUCGUUAGCUAACGGUAGCCUUCUGAUUCCACCCCCCCAACAAACCUUCAUCAUACACUGAUUUUGGCAGAACGUGCAGCCAGUAAUGAAGGGAUAGAUGCACCUAACAGAGGGCUUCUCUCUACAGGAUCCUGGACCAUUAGUGCUUCGUCGUGGGUCACAGUGCAACAUCAGAUGUCUGCAACGCUCAUCAGUUUUUCUUGGACAAGGGGGCCCCUAAAUCAUGGCUGCAGCUGUCGCCGUGGUCCUGCUACACCCUGCUACGCCGUGCAGUUCCCUGCUACGUCCUGUAACGCCCUGCUACGCCAUGAACUACUGCAACUACUAUUUAUAGUCGUAGUUCAAUUAUCUUUAUUGUAGGAUGACCACAUUUCCUGGAACUAAAACCGGGACACUUUGUGCGUGACCGUAGUGUGUUUGUGCACGACCACGCUUUUUAACGUGAACAUGUGCCAGCCCAGGUCAGACACAGACACAGACAGUAACUUCAUUAUUUUGAUCCUAGGCUCCUCGUCUAAUAAUAAGUGUUUUCUCUUGUGAAAUUAACAAAAUUGCAGUAACAGCCUUUUUCAGUUUAGUGUGAGAUUUAUGUUGCGAUUUUUUCUAAAGAAGAUUUUUUGAAGUUUUAUUUAUUCCAAUAACAGCAAAUUAAUUAAAAUGAUU